CACAAUGCUAUUGAUUACCCAGAGGUGUUUCCUGCAAUACAAGGAGCAAGGCAGAAGAUUAAUGAGCUCUCCAAUGUGGGACUACAUAUUCCAUUGACUCAUGAAUUAUCCUGCUUUGAAGGAUGGAGGCCCUCCCUUGUUCCAAAUGAGUAUUGAGAUGUACAGUUCUCACAAAUCUUUCAGCAAUGGGAGAUACACAGGUGGUAUGAAGGAAUGCCGGGCACUUCAAAAGGAAUAUAAGAAAACUAGGGAGUUCCUAAACAGAUUACCCAGAAUGGUUAUGCUUAUAGAACUGCCAUUGUUGCCCUUAGAUUUUAAUAAUAAUAUUAGUAAUUGAGAAAACAGCCUCUGACAGCAAAUACCAUCUGUACAAAGAAGCUGAAGAAACAGUGAACCACUUAGUUGGCUGCUGCAAGAAGAUCACAGAGACUGUCU